rnacentral:rRNA from 1 species
CCCUUAGAUGUUCUGGGCCGCACGCGCGCUACACUGACACACUCAGCGAGUCUCUGAUCCGAGAGGACCAGGUAAUCAUGUGAGCGUGUGUCGUGAUGGGGAUAGAAUAUUGUAAUUAUUGUUCUUCAACGAGGAGUUCCUAGUAAGCGCAAGUCAGCAGCUUGCGCUGAUUACGUCCCUGCCCUUUGUACACACCGCCCGUCGCUCCUACCGAGUGGGUGAUCCGGUGAAUGACUCGGACUCUGGCAUUGCUAGCAACAUAGCUUUGCUGGAGGAAGUUUUGUGAACCUUAUCACUUGGAGGAAGGAGAAGUCGUAACA